GGCCGCGUAGUAUAAUGGCUAGUACAUGAGACUCUGAAUCUCAAAAUGGGAGUUCGAUCCUCUCCGUGGCCU
rfam:Salpingoeca sp. ATCC 50818 unplaced genomic scaffold supercont1.4, whole genome shotgun sequence.